GGUGAAAAGCACCCCGGAAGGGGAGUGAAAUAGAACCUGAAACCGUGUGCUUACAAGUAGUCAGAGCCCGUUAAUGGGUGAUGGCGUGCCUUUUGUAGAAUGAACCGGCGAGUUACGAUUUGAUGCAAGGUUAAGCAGUAAAUGUGGAGCCGUAGCGAAAGCGAGUCUGAAUAGGGCGUUUAGUAUUUGGUCGUAGACCCGAAACCAGGUGAUCUACCCUUGGUCAGGUUGAAGUUCAGGUAACACUGAAUGGAGGACCGAACCGACUUACGUUGAAAAGUGAGCGGAUGAACUGAGGGUAGCGGAGAAAUUCCAAUCGAACCUGGAGAUAGCUGGUUCUCUCCGAAAUAGCUUUAGGGCUAGCCUCAAGUGAUGAUUAUUGGAGGUAGAGCACUGUUUGGACGAGGGGCCCCUCUCGGGUUACCGAAUUCAGACAAACUCCGAAUGCCAAUUAAUUUAACUUGGGAGUCAGAACAUGGGUGAUAAGGUCCGUGUUCGAAAGGGAAACAGCCCAGACCACCAGCUAAGGUCCCAAAAUAUAUGUUAAGUGGAAAAGGAUGUGGCGUUGCCCAGACAACUAGGAUGUUGGCUUAGAAGCAGCCAUCAUUUAAAGAGUGCGUAAUAGCUCACUAGUCGAGUGACACUGCGCCGAAAAUGUACCGGGGCUAAACAUAUUACCGAAGCUGUGGAUUGUCCUUUGGACAAUGGUAGGAGAGCGUUCUAAGGGCGUUGAAGCAUGAUCGUAAGGACAUGUGGAGCGCUUAGAAGUGAGAAUGCCGGUGUGAGUAGCGAAAGACGGGUGAGAAUCCCGUCCACCGAUUGACUAAGGUUUCCAGAGGAAGGCUCGUCCGCUCUGGGUUAGUCGGGUCCUAAGCUGAGGCCGACAGGCGUAGGCGAUGGAUAACAGGUUGAUAUUCCUGUACCACCUAUAAUCGUUUUAAUCGAUGGGGGGACGCAGUAGGAUAGGCGAAGCGUGCGAUUGGAUUGCACGU
rnacentral:rRNA from 1 species